rnacentral:rRNA from 1 species
AAUCCAUAGGUUAAUGAGGCGAACCGGGGGAACUGAAACAUCUAAGUACCCCGAGGAAAAGAAAUCAACCGAGAUUCCCCCAGUAGCGGCGAGCGAACGGGGAGGAGCCCAGAGCCUGAAUCAGCAUGUGUGUUAGUGGAAGCGUCUGGAAAGGCGCGCGAUACAGGGUGACAGCCCCGUACACAAAAGCGCAUGUGCUGUGAGCUCGAUGAGUAGGGCGGGACACGUGGUAUCCUGUCUGAAUAUGGGGGGACCAUCCUCCAAGGCUAAAUACUCCUGACUGACCGAUAGUGAACCAGUACCGUGAGGGAAAGGCGAAAAGAACCCCGGCGAGGGGAGUGAAAAAGAACCUGAAACCGUGUACGUACAAGCAGUGGGAGCACCCUUCGGGGUGUGACUGCGUACCUUUUGUAUAAUGGGUC